CCCAACUUCUUGCCCAUGGAUGGGAGCCUCUUGCAUGAGCACCAAGGCCCCGGAUCCACGUACAAGAGCAUCUUCCAUGUGUCUCUAGGUGGGACCAUCUCACCCACGUCCAUGCCCACGGAGAAAAACAUCUUGCCCAUGUCCGUGCCCAUGGAUGAGAGCACCUUCCAUGAGCACCAGGGCUGGGGAUUCACCUCCGAGAGCAUCUCGCACGUGUCCAUCUCAAACGAGCGCUGUGGCCACGUGCCCACAGAUGGGAGCAUCUCACCCAGGUCCAUGUCCAUGGGUGGGAACAUCUCCCCCAUGUCCGUGCCCGUGGAUGAGAACAUCUCGCAGGAGCACGUGCCCAUAGAUAGGAGCAUCUUGCCCAUGGAUGGGACCAACUUGACCAAGGCCACACCCAUGGAGGGGACCAUUUCACCCAAGUUCAUGCCCAUGGAUGAGACCAACUUGGCCAAGGCCAUGCCCGUGGAAGGGACCAAUUUGCCCAAGUUCAUGCCCAUGGAAGGGACCGACUUGACCAAGACCAUGCCCAUGGAUGAGAACAUCUCACCCAAGUUCAUGCCCAUGGAAGGGACCAACUUGACUGAGACCAUCACCAUGGAUGAGAUCAUCUCACCCAAGGCCAUGUCCAUGGAUGGGACCAACUUGACCAAGACCAUGCCCAUGGAAGGGACCAUCUCACCCAAGGCCAUGCCGAUGGAAGGGACCAACUUGCCCACGUUCAUGCCCAUGGAAGGGACCAACUUGCCCAAGACCAUGCUCAUGGAUCAGACCACCUCACCCAAGGCCAUGCCCAUGGAAGGAACCAUCUUACCCAAGUCCAUGCCCAUGGAAGGGACCACCUCACCCAAGGCCAUGCCCACAGAUGGGACCAUUUCACCCAAGGCCAUGCCCAUGGAAGGGACCAACUUGACCAAGACCAUGCCCAUGGGUGAAACCACCACACCCAAGGCCAUGUCCAUGGAUGGGACCAUCUCAACCAAGUUCAUGCCCAUGGAUGGGACCAACUUGACCAAGACCACGCCCAUGGAUGGGACCAACUUGACCAAGACCAUGCCCAUGGAUGAGACCACCUCACCCAAGGCCAUGUCCAUGGAAGGAACCAUCUCACCCAAGGCUAUGCCCACAGAUGGGACCAACUUGACCAAGACCAUGCCCAUGGGUGAAACCACCACACCCAAGGCCAUGUCCAUGGAAGGGACCAACUUGCCCAAGACCAUGCCUAUGGAUGAGACCAUCUCACCCAAGGCCAUGCCCAUGGAAGGGACCGACAUGACCAAGUUCUCCAAGACCAUGGCCAUGGAAGGGACCAUCUCUCAGGAGCACAUCCCUAUGGAUGACACCACCUCC
rnacentral:lncRNA from 1 species